CUUGCAUUCACUUGGUGGGUUGUUGUAGCAGAAAAGAGGUGAUGACCCAAACACUUAACAAAUUCACACGACACAAACACAAUCCUCGGACCCACUUCCAUGGCUACUGUUCCUUCUCUUUGCACCGUCUUUCCCAUACUCACACCAAUCUUGUCGAAGCCCCAUUUCGUUCCCCUCUCUUCCCGAACCCCAAAACGAAGUCGUAUCAUCAGCUGUGUAGCUGAGGACCGUGAAAUAGUUCCGGUGUCCGAAGACAGAGGAGCGCGUUUCCAUGAAGUUGAGGGGAUUCAACCUUCUGAAUCCAUAACAGAGGCAGAGGUUGAUCCUCGCCUCACAAGCAAUAGUACCGUUAAUGCCUUCAUCGUUUUGGGGUUUGGGACUUUUGCUGUCACCAAGUUGCUCACCAUUGACCAUGACUACUGGCAUGGUUGGACCCUUUAUGAGAUUCUAAGGUAUAUACCUGAGCACAACUGGAUUGCCUAUGAGCAAGCUCUGAAAGCAAAUCCGGUUUUAGCUAAAAUGGCAAUAAGUGGGAUUGUCUACUCAAUUGGAGACUGGAUUGCUCAGUGCUAUGAAGGAACGCCUCUUUUUGAGUUUGAUCUGGCACGGUUACUCAGAUCAGGUCUUGUUGGGUUUACUCUCCAUGGAUCUCUUUCCCAUUAUUAUUAUCAACUUUGUGAGGCUCUUUUUCCUUUCCAAGAAUGGUGGGUUGUCCCUGCUAAAGUUGCUUUCGACCAAACUGUGUGGUCUGCAGUUUGGAACAGCAUCUACUUUGUGGUUUUGGGCUUAUUGCGGUUUGAAUCUUUGACUAAUAUAUAUGGUGAACUGAAGUCAACAUUUUUCCCCUUGCUUACUCUAACAUCUCUAAUAUGCUUCCCAGGCAGGGUGGAAACUUUGGCCUUUUGCGCAUCUGAUUACUUAUGGUCUGAUUCCUGUGGAACAAAGGCUUCUUUGGGUGGACUGUGUGGAGCUCGUCUGGGUCACAAUCCUUUCAACCUAUUCAAAUGAGAAAUCAGAAACCCGAAUAUCCGAGUCAGCAUCAGAAGCAACAUCAUCCACUUCAAACCAAAAUUCUAAGGAAUAAAUGAAAUGAAAAGUGAGGAAAACUAUUUAGGCUUCAUGGUAAUUACAAAAUGAACCUCGAAAUAUUGGAAGAAUGUAUCAGUUGAAGGUCCAAUUGAGCGACCUGAGGUUGUGAUCUGCUCGCUGCCCAUACAGGAUAUACACUUACACUGCUCGUGUUGAUUGCUUCUAGCUAUGAUCGGAGCUUUUUAGGUUGCAGUUAUCAGAAUAAAUGCAUAGAUGAUUGUAUAUAUAAUAGGAUAAUACAUUCAGAACACAAGCUAUGUUCCUUUCCUUCUACAUCCAUAAUUCUGCAUAAAACAAAUUCGUCUCAUGUAUUGUGUUGGAAACAUUGUCUUUGGAAUUUCAUUUCCUCCUGUAUUUUAUAAGAAAAAAGGAUAUAAUAUCUUGGGAGUAUUAAAUGCAUUCUAUAUUUAUCAUUU